UCCUCUCGCUCUCUCUUUUUUGUUUGAAAGCACACAUGUGUCACUCAGUGGGAUAGGGUGGGAAGAAGGAAGAAGAGAAAUUUCAUUUGAAGAUUCCUGACAGCCCCUGGAAUUUGUAUUUGAAAAGACUCUGCCUGAGGAUCCUGUCAGGCGAUUUGCUGGUUCUGCCGCGGUGAGCAUGAGUUCCCAGGAGACAGCUAGGAGGGGUUGGAGUGGAGGAAGGCUUAUAGGUGACUGCUCUUUUCUUUCUGCGCUCAGUGGGAGACUAAACCACCUGCUCUAGCCGAGCAGAGAGGAUGCUUCGUUCAAUAAUCUGAUUACUGUUUAUGAGCUAUCCUUCUCAUCUGCCUCAGCGCGGUUACUUCGGCAUCACUAUGCGAGUCAGUGCAGUGCAGCUUAAAGCAGGUAAAGUGUAUGUUUAAAAGCCAGACAGAGAUAGUGUUGGCUGAACUGCAACUGUAAUAUUUUUGAUGAAGGUGAUUUUCCAAAAGGCAGUGUAUUUCAACUGUUCUUUGUAUCCAUCAUACCUUGAGGAUAUUACAUUUUUAAAUAUAUAUACAGAGCAAGCAAUAAUCAUUUAAAACAGCUCACUGGUAAAUCUGUCCAGUUUUCAUUGGCUGAUUGUGAUUUUCUUCAUGUAAUAUACUUCUCAGCUUUUUCAAACUGAUACACUUCAUAUCUUGGAUGUAUAGAAUGGUAUUUUAAAGUUUACAAAGUAUUCUGUUUUCUAUCGGGCUAGAUGCUUGUAACUUCUUUCUUGCAAACUAUGCCUUGAGUUAGAACAUAAUUAAAAUUCAUAAAACAAAAUUCCUUUGUUCGAUACACUGGGAAAAUGUCUGCUUCUGGGAGAAAAGAAUUUGACGUAAAGCAUAUCCUGCGUCUCCGAUGGAAACUUUUCAGCCAUCCGGCACAGAGUUCGGCUGGGAAUUGUCUUUCUACAGACAGUUUUGAGCAAUGGGGUCCAAGCCAGACACGACUGAAGAACCACAACCACGAGAGAAGUGGCUUUCGAAAAAAGUCAGAACCAGUCAAUGGUUCUCUGUUUUCUUCAUCCAACAAUGGCAUACGUGGAAACCGUGAAUGCCAUCAACAAAGGGCAGUAUUUUACAUGGAAGCUGUGGGAGAAAUGCCAAGAAUGGAGAUUACAAGAGAGGUUAAGCCAGUAGUCCAAGAAAUCAAAGGUCCAGAAGUGGAAAGAGAAAGGAGUGUUGAAAAUAAAGACCGAUUUGGGCACAGAUUAUCUGGGACCAGUCGUCCUCCAACACCCCAGAGUGAUAUGGAUGCCAGCUGUACAGAAGAGUUUUAUCAGGCAGCCCAUCAUGCAGAACAGACAUUUCAAAAAAUGGAGAAUUACUUAAAGCAACAACAGCUUUGUGACGUAUUACUUAUUGCUGGGAAUCGCAAAAUACCAGCCCAUAGAAUUGUACUAAGUGCUGUGUCAGACUACUUUGCUGCUAUGUUCACAAGUGAUGUUUGCGAAGCAAAGCAAGAAGAAAUCAAAAUGGAGGGUAUUGACCCAAAUGCUCUUUGGGAUUUGGUGCAAUUUGCAUACACAGGUUGCUUGGAGCUCAAAGAAGAAACCAUUGAGAAUCUUUUGGCAGCAGCUUGCCUGCUCCAACUCCCCCAAGUAGUUGAUGUCUGCUGUCACUUCCUAAUGAAGCUUCUCCAUCCAUCAAACUGCCUUGGAAUCCGUGCAUUUGCUGAUGCCCAGGGCUGCAUUGAACUCAUGAAGGUGGCACACAGCUACAGCAUGGAAAAUAUCAUGGAAGUUAUAAGAAAUCAAGAGUUCUUGCUGCUUUCCGCUGAUGAAAUUCUUAAACUUCUGGCCAGUGAUGAUGUUAAUGUACCUGAUGAAGAAACAAUAUUUCAUGCACUUAUGAUGUGGGUGAAACACGAUCUACAAAAAAGAUGUAAAGAUCUUAGCAUGCUGCUUGCCUAUAUUAGACUACCCCUUCUCCCGCCUCAGCUUUUGGCAGAUCUGGAAAAUAAUGCUCUCUUCAAAGAUGAUAUUGAGUGUCAAAAGCUCAUCUUAGAAGCAAUGAAGUACCACCUUCUUCCAGAAAGAAGACUCCUAAUGCAAAGCCCCAGGACUAAACCUAGAAAAUCAACUGUUGGAGUCUUGUAUGCUGUUGGAGGAAUGGAUAAUAACAAAGGUUCAAGCACAAUAGAGAAGUAUGACUUAAGAACAAAUACCUGGACUCAGGCUGGAAUGAUGAAUGGAAGGCGAUUACAGUUUGGAGUAGCUGUCAUCGAUGAGAAGCUUUUUGUUAUUGGAGGCAGAGAUGGCCUGAAGACAUUAAACACAGUUGAAUGCUACAACCUAAAAUCAAACACAUGGAACAUUGAAUCUCCAAUGUCAACUCACAGACAUGGCCUUGGAGUAACGGUUUUAGAAGGACCUAUAUAUGCAGUUGGUGGUCAUGAUGGAUGGAGUUAUUUGAAUACAGUAGAAAGAUGGGAUCCAGAAAGACAGCAGUGGACAUUCGUUGCAAGCAUGUCUACAGCCAGAAGCACUGUUGGUGUGGCAGCAUUGAAUGGAAAAUUGUAUGCGAUUGGUGGCCGAGAUGGAAGUUCAUGUCUCAGUUCAAUGGAGAGCUAUGACCCCCACACAAAUAAAUGGAGUAUGUGUUCACCAAUGUCAAAAAGAAGAGGUGGAGUAGGAGUUGCCACAUGUGAUGGAUUUUUAUAUUCUAUAGGAGGACAUGAUGCUCCAGCUUCAAGUCAUUGCUCUCGAUUGUCAGAUUGUGUGGAAAGAUAUGAUCCAAAAACAGAUACCUGGACAACUGUUGCACCUCUAAGUCAACCACGGGAUGCCGUUGGAAUUUGCCUUCUCGGAGAUAAACUGUAUGCUGUUGGAGGUUAUGAUGGCCAAACAUAUCUAAACACAAUGGAAUCCUAUGAUCCGCAGAUAAACGAAUGGACAAAGAUAAAGAACAUUUUCCUGAUUAUGUCACUUAAGGCACUUUGGUCUAUCUAAAAGAAUUUAACGUGAACAAAGCCAUGCAGAUGAAGUAUUGUAUACUUAUGCAAUAUGGCGUCAUUAAACAUUGGAAGAGCUGGUGCAUGCGUUGUUGUUAUUAAGCAGCCUUGACAACUCUCUUGUGAACAUCCGGAUAAGAAUAUGUUUCAUCCUAAUGUGUCUUGACUGGUGUAUUUAUUAUCUCACCGACGAGGAAUUAUAGAGAUAAAUACAUGCAGUGACUGACAAAGAAAACUGGCAAAGUUUGUCCAGGCAUACUAAACAAGACCUGAAGACAUACACGCACUGGCAAAGCAGCAUAUCAUUUUGUCACCAGACUUAACUAAGUUAUAUUAUAUUAUAAUUUUAUUUUACCUGUAUAACUUUUUUUUUGUAAAUUCUUAUUAAUUAUUUUAAAAAUAUGUAGACAUAUCUCAGAAGUUAUGAUUUUGCACAUUUGCUGCAGGAGUAAGUACUUAAGUGCACAGAUAAAGGUGUCUUUUUCUUAUUUAUUUUAGUACCAGAACAGACUGCAGCACCUGUUCAUAGAGAUAUACUUUUUUAAUAAUGUAAUAUAAUCAUAUCAGAACAAAGAUUUUAAAAGCUAUUUGUUCUCAUAAUCCUGUCAAGCUACAACUCAAUUAUGUUUCUUACAUAUUAAAAAUAGUAUUGUAUGAGCAUGACUUACCUUGAGUCUUACUUAUUUAGUCUAGCAUACUUAUUUUGUCAUGCAUAUGUCAAAUUUGGCGUUAAAUGAGUACACCAGAGUUUUUGAUUAAAAACAUUUUUAUUGUAAUUUAAAAUUAUAAAAUUUAAAUUUGCAUGAGUAAGUUCUCAGUAAAAGCAACACUGUGAACAGAUGAAGUCAAUUUUAAUGUAACCAAUAUACGGAACUGAAAAAUGUACUGGUUAACUUUAUAUUUGACUUAGUCUGAUCUUUUUAGAUAUUUCUUGAGUAAUAGCUAAAAACAUCUGGCCAUUCAAGGCUGAAUUGCUUUGGAGUGCAAAUGUUAUUCAUUUAUAUAUAAUGUUAAGGAAGCUAGCAAGUCCAUGGCAAGGUUUGUUAAUUGUUUAAAAUGUAGAGAUCACUCUGCUUCUCUGUGCUGGCUUAUUGUACCUAUUAGUUGUUACAACAGCUUCCUGUUCCAAAAGUAUAGCACAUUUAUGCCAACAAUCACAGUGAUUGAAAACAUUUAAUUAUCACAUUCAUAUUUUAUUCUGGUAUUACAGUUUACAGCCUAAAAAAGUUAAUUUUUGUAUGUUUAUUUAUUUGCUGUCUGUAAUGUGGGCAUCAUAUGCAUUGAAGAAAAUAAAAAGGUUUUGAAAAUU